rnacentral:rRNA from 1 species
GAUGAACGCUGGCGGCGUGCCUAACACAUGCAAGUCGAGCGAACGGACGAGAAGUUUUCUUCUCUGAUGUUAGCGGCGGACGGGUGAGUAACACGUGGAUAACCUACCUAUAAGACUGGGAUAACUUCGGGAAACCGGAGCUAAUACCGGAUGAUAUUUUGAACCGCAUGGUUCAAAAGUGAAAGACGCUCUUGCUGUCACUUAUAGAUGGAUCCGCGCUGCAUUAGCUAGUUGGUAAGGUAGCGGCUUACCAAGGCAACGAUGCAUAGCCGACCUGAGAGGGUGAUCGGCCACACUGGAACUGAGACACGGCCCAGACUCCUACGGGAGGAAGCAGUAGGGAAUCUUACGCAAUGGGCGAAAGCCUGAUGGAGCAACGCCGCGGGAGUGAUGAAGGUCUUCGGAUCGUAAAGCUCUGUUAUUAGGGAAGAAGAAAUGCGUAAGUAACUGUGAAGAUCUUGACGGUACCUAGUCAAAAAGCCACGGCUAACUACGUG